GAUGAAGAACGUAGCGAAAUGCGAUAAGUAAUGUGAAUUGCAGAAUUCAGUGAAUCAUCGAAUCUUUGAACGCACAUUGCGCCCGCUAGUAUUCUGGCGGGCAUGCCUGUCCGAGCGUCAUUUCAACCCUCAAGCCCCCGGGCUUGGUGUUGGGGAUCGGCGAGCCUCCGCGCCCGCCGUCCCCUAAAUCUAGUGGCGGUCUCGCUGUAGCUUCCUCUGCGUAGUAGCACACCUCGCACUGGGAAACAGCGCGGCCACCCCGUUAAACCCCCAACUUCUGAACGUUUGACCUCGGAUCAGGUAGGAAUACCCGCUGAACUUAAGCAUAUCAAUAAGCGGAGGA
rnacentral:misc_RNA from 1 species